rfam:Candidatus Micrarchaeum sp. AZ1 Contig2, whole genome shotgun sequence.
CCAAACGGUAAUAGGAGCAGGGAAACGCCCGAUCCCAUUCCGAACUCGGAAGCUAAGCCUGCUCACGAUAUGUGUGUACUGUCUGCGGAUGGGAAAGCAUGUUGCUGUUUGGC